rnacentral:lncRNA from 1 species
AGGCGGAGAUGAAUUUACAGCAGACUAUGGGAAAGUUUAAGAUGGAAAGGAAACUGACAUUUAGGCCAGAUGCUACAGAAUGAUUCAUAAAACUGGGUAUUCUGGCUCGCCAUUAAUUACUUGUGCUAAAGCCGGGCUGCAGCUGCUCAGGUGAGCCAUAGCAACAGGUGAUUAAAUAGCAGAUAAUUUAUAUUUGGCUUUGAAAAGCAGAAGAGCAAAACUCCAGUUGCCC